UACGGAGGGUGCAAGCGUUAUCCGGAUUCACUGGGUUUAAAGGGUGCGUAGGUGGGGUGGUAAGUCAGUGGUGAAAUCUCCGAGCUUAACUUGGAAACUGCCAUUGAUACUAUCAUUCUUGAAUAUUGUGGAGGUUAGCGGAAUAUGUCAUGUAGCGGUGAAAUGCUUAGAUAUGACAUAGAACACCAAUUGCGAAGGCAGCUGGCUACACAUAUAUUGACACUGAGGCACGAAAGCGUGGGGAUCAAACAGG
rnacentral:rRNA from 1 species